rnacentral:rRNA from 1 species
GAUGAACGCUGGCGGCGUGCUUAACACAUGCAAGUCGAACGGAAAGGCCCUGCUUUUGCGGGGUGCUCGAGUGGCGAACGGGUGAGUAACACGUGAGUAACCCCUCCUUGACUUUGUGAUAAAUCCUGGAAACUGGGGCGAAUACCGGAUAGGAGCUCCUGCUGCAUGGUGGGGGAUGGAAAGUUUCGGCUGUUGGGGCUAGACUCGCGGCUUAUCAGCUGGUUGGUGGGGUAGUGGCUUACGAGGGGUUUGACGGGUAGCCGGCCUGGGAGCGUGACCGGCGUCAUUGGGACUGAGGGAGGGAGCAGUAUGGUAUGGGAGGCAGCGGUGGGAAAUAUUGCACAGUGGGCGGGCGUCUGAGGUAGAAGCGCUGCGAGCGGGAUGACGGCCUUCGAGUUGUGAACCGCUUUCGACGUUGCCGAGGCGGGAGUGACGGUACUGAGUCAAGAAGCCCCGGCUAACUACGUG